UUUUGUGGUAGCUUUCUUCAUGGCACAUUUGUUAAGUUUUCAAAUGGACUGUACUCUCACACACAUAUUGCAUAGGAGCUGACAAGGCUGGAGGACAGAGCAUGCUCUCUCCUUUUCCAUGUCCAGUUUGGCUCCCACAUAG